rnacentral:rRNA from 1 species
GUGGGGAAUCUUGCGCAAUGGGCGAAAGCCUGACGCAGCCAUGCCGCGUGAAUGAUGGAGGUCUUAGGAUUGUAAAAUUCUUUCACCGGGGACGAUAAUGACGGUACCCGGAGAAGAAGCUCCGGCUAACUUCGUGCCAGCAGCCGCGGUAAUACGAAGGGGGCUAGCGUUGCUCGGAAUUACUGGGCGUAAAGGGCGCGUAGGCGGACAGCUUAGUCAGAGGUGAAAGCCCAGGGCUCAACCUUGGAAUUGCCUUUGAUACUGGCUGUCUUGAGUUUGGGAGAGGUGAGUGGAACUCCGAGUGUAGAGGUGAAAUUCGUAGAUAUUCGGAAGAACACCAGUGGCGAAGGCGACUCACUGGCCCAAUACUGACGCUGAGGCGCGAAAGCGUGGGGAGCAAACAGGAUUAGAUACCCCAGUAGUCC